UACGGAGGGUGCAAGCGUUAUCCGGAAUUAUUGGGCGUAAAGCGUCCGCAGGUGGCAAUGUAAGUCUGCUGUUAAAGAGUCUAGCUCAACUAGAUAAAAGCAGUGGAAACUACAUAGCUAGAGUACGUUCGGGGCAGAGGGAAUUCCUGGUGUAGCGGUGAAAUGCGUAGAGAUCAGGAAGAACACCGGUGGCGAAGGCGCUCUGCUAGGCCGUAACUGACACUGAGGGACGAAAGCUAGGGGAGCGAACAGG
rnacentral:rRNA from 1 species